UGAGCAGACCUGCAGUCCACAAGUCCAGCUGUAUAGAGCAGAGGGAAGCCUAAAGUCUCUGACACAGCUGCCUAAAGGGGCCCUCCCUGAAAGAAGGGAGGACUCACCCCGGAGAAAACCAGAGAGGGAAGUAUCCUGUGGACCUUGGAUAUUGAUCUGUGGUAAAGCUUAACUGACCAAUACCUGGGAAGGGCUGCAGAAUCUUGGUUCAAAGGUGCCUAUCUACAGCAAUAUAAGAAAGAUGUGAUGAAGAAAUCCAGAGAAGGAUACAGCUUGUGAAAAAUGCAUUUGACAACUUCCAAAGAAUUCUGUGUUAUAGAAAGCUAAAACUGCAUAUCUACACUAGGUUGCUGAAGUGCCACAUAGGGACAACUCUCCUGUGCAGAUGUGAGAGCUGGACACUUAAAAGGGACAAUCAAAACCAAACUAAGAGGUGAUGAGAAGGAUGAAUUUUAAAAGAGCACAACUACUUGAGAGCCAAUGUAAAAGAACAUCAUCUUUUUGUAGACGCAUAGCUUACUGAUCGCAGAGUGACUUAAGUCUAACACUCAUACUAUCGGACAUGAUGACAGGCAAACCAGAAAGAGAAGAAGGAGAGCCAGUUACAUAGGAAAUAUCAGACAGACUGUUAUCCAAAGGAGAGCAGAAAUUUUACAACUCUGUCAUGACUGCAAAAGAUGGAUGGUGGUGGCCAACAAUCUUUGUAUGUGUGUUACUUGAAGUAUACUGCAAAUGCCACGUACAUACUAUGUAUGCUAUUCCUAUUACCUCUCCCAGUGUUGGAAGGCCUGAUUUUCACUGUGGCAACUGCAAAACACUGUGCAUGCAAAAAUGCACAAAUACUUGCAAGACGCCUAGUAACUGGAGCAACAGAAUCAUCUAUCAAUGUUCCCUUCCGAGUAGUGUGUUCCUCACUGGGUUCGUCUUGACGAGGGUAAAAAGGUCUUCAUACACAGGCAACAAACCAGGAAAGGAAGGCCAGUUGCCUGAACUGUGCCAGAUUCUACCUACCCUACCAUUGUUUCAGCAGCCAAUGAUGGAGAGGGGUUGUGGGACCCAGCUCUGGGUGUCUAUGCUAUAGAAUGAUGCAGUGUAUAUUAAAA